CCUACGGGUGGCUGCAGUGGGGAAUAUUGCACAAUGGGGGAAACCCUGAUGCAGCGACGCCGCGUGAGUGAAGAAGUAUCUCGGUAUGUAAAGCUCUAUCAGCAGGGAAGAAAAUGACGGUAACUGACUAAGAAGCCCCGGCUACCUACGUGCCAGCAGCCGCGGUAAUACGUAGGGGGCAAGCGGUAUCCGGAUUUACUGGGUGUAAAGGGAGCGUAGGCGGGGCUGCAAGGCCGGGGUGAAAGCCCCUGGCUUAACCAGUGUACUGCUCCGGAACCUGGUGGGGGUGAGGUAGGGAGGGGCAGGCGGAAUUCCUGGUGUAGCGGUGAAAUGCGUAGAGAUUAGGAGGAACACCGGCGGCGAAGGCGGCCUGCUGGACCGUAACUGACGUUGAGGCUCGAAAGCGUGGGGAGCAAAAAGGAUUAGAUACCCCUGUAGUC
rnacentral:rRNA from 1 species